UCCCGGAUUUUAAGGAUGCAUCGGCUGUAUCCUUCGCGGCCCAACGUAUCCCAAGAUCCUUCACGGCCCAACGUAUCCCUCCCAAGAUUCAUUGCGCAUUCAAUCCAAAAAAUAAAACAAAUAAUGGCGGAGAAUGUGGAUUUGACUUUUUCAUUUAAAUGGAGCAAGGAGCAUACUGCUCAAUUGAUCAAACUCAGGGGGGAGAACGACGAGCUCUUCACCGGGGUGAAACAUUCGGCGAGAGUGGCUUGGGGGUAAGGAAACAAUCGUUUAUUUAUAUCGUAAGUUAGUUUAUAAAAAUUAUUAUAGGCCAUUUGUAUAUCUACAUUUGACCAUCUUGUAAAGGUUAGUUAAAUUAGCCCUCAUUGAAAAGCAGGACAGAUACAACAUCCACAGAAAUCGUUUACUACGAUGUCCUAUUUUGGGUUAUUAAAGAAAGACAAAAAAAAGUCACAGCUCGCAUCAGUACUAGACAGCACUCGAAAAACACACAAAGAAAAAGGGUGUUUUGACUUCUACUGGUUGUCUUAUUAUUAUGGGCUUCAUAUAGGAUGAGGGCUAAUUUAAAUGUAACCUUUACAAGAUGGUCAAAUGUAUGUAUUAUAAAUGGCCUAUUGUUAACAUGGGCUAUUAACAUGAUUGAUAAAUGUGUCUCUUGUUUUCUCUGAUUAAUAAUCUCUCUGUGUUUAGGACAAUUCUGGAGAAAAUAGGCCUGCAGGGGAAUGUGACUCCCCUGCAGGCAAAGAAAAAAUGGGAUAAUUUAGAAAAAAUAUAUAAAGAUUGCAAGUAUCCAGGGUCAGGAGAGGGGG